rnacentral:lncRNA from 1 species
AGAGAUUCCAGGUGCACGCUGUCUCCAGCGCUCGCUCCUUCCAGCAUGGAAGCUGACCCUUAAGGUCACAGAGCCAUCCGACCCUCAGUUUAAAAACUACUCUCUGCAUUGGGUGAUUUUUUGCCACUUUCUUAGCUUAACAUUGCAGCCAGCUCUUAAACCCAGUUCAUCUCCUCCCUCUUUUCACAACAGAAGUCUGCGAGCCCAGGAUGGCAGAGGUCACCGAGGAGGCUGCAGGUGCAGGGGUCUACUAACCGGGAAGGGGUGGGCUCUCAGAGAGACAGCAACAGGAGCAGCAGGUGCGCCAGGGUAGGAAUGGGCCUGGGAAAGGGAGACAUGAGGUCAGACCAGUAACAGGGCCAGGACACAGGAAAUCAAGCUGUAGGACCGGCUGACCCCAUUUGGCAACUAAGUCGAUGCGUUUGUGAGCAUUCGGAAGGAAUCCCUGGGCACCCCUAAAAACCAGCUUGGAACAUCCCUGCAUAUUUAGUGCAUGGUUGGAACCAAUAGAACAUAGGUCAUAUUAGAAUGUUUCAGGUGAAUUCCAUCUACAAACAGGGCAAGUUCUAAGUUUGAAAUCAAUAAUUACCAUACUGUUGUUAUUUCACUAAAUGUUUAAAAACAAGAAGAUGAAUUUUAGAAUUUAUCCGCUGCCCUUCAGUGUAGAUGCCCUUAGAAAAGUGAAUCUUUUUUUUUUUAAGCAAAAAAAGAACCUUCCAACAGAGAAUCAUUAUGUAGCUCAUCUUCUAAGGCAUGCAACCAGUGUGGUUUAGAAAUGUUAAAAAUAGCCCUUUGGCUCAGCUGUUGCCCUCUUUGGCAUGUACUUGCACAUGCUGAAGCCAGAGUUUGCAGUGACCUUGGCCUUGGUAGGGUGCUAGGGGUGGAGUGGGUUCUCUUGUUCACUCUCCUCUCUAAACUUCUUGUCUUUCAACUUGUAUUCCACAAGUCAGAGGCCUGCAAAAGGAAGAGCAAAGCUCUGUCUCAGACAAGACACUGCAUUCCGGGCCUCCUGUUCUGAAUAAUCCACCUUCCUGGAUCACAGUUCUGAACAGCCGUGCCUUGGAAGGGGGCCCGGACAGGACACCAUUCGACCUGAUGCUCCUCAGGGCCCUGCUGUGGAUUAGCUGUCUGGCCUUAGGAAAGUCCUUUAAUCUCUUGGGGUUUUAGUUUACUCUCUACUGAAUCUCUGAAGAACUUUCCAGUUUAAAAAUUGUUCUAUGACUGCACAAGGCUCAAACAAAAAGUUUUCUCGUGGCCCUCCAGUAUGGGUUCUGAGAAUUCUAGUCAAAAUGUUACUCACACAUGUAAUCCUAAAACUAGACAUUUCCUUACACAAAUGAUUUUAGACUUUUGAAACAAGAGAAUGAAUACAAUAAAAUGCAAUCCAUAUAU